rnacentral:rRNA from 1 species
UACGAAGGGGGCUAGCGUUGCUCGGAAUCACUGGGCGUAAAGCGCACGUAGGCGGCUUUUUAAGUCAGAGGUGAAAUCCUGGAGCUCAACUCCAGAACUGCCUUUGAUACUGAGAAGCUUGAGUUCGGGAGAGGUGAGUGGAACUGCGAGUGUAGAGGUGAAAUUCGUAGAUGUUCGCAAGAACACCAGUGGCGAAGGCGGCUCACUGGCCCGAUACUGACGCUGAGGUGCGAAAGCGUGGGGAGCAAACAGG